GAGUUUGAUCCUGGCUCAGAACGAACGCUGGCGGCAUGCCUAACACAUGCAAGUCGAACGGGAUCCAGGCUUCGGCCUGGUGAGAGUGGCGGACGGGUGAGUAACGCGUGGGAACCUGCCCAAUGGUCUGGGAUAACCGCGGGGAACUGCGGCUAAUACCGGAUAAGCCCGAGAGGGGAAAGAUUUAUCGCCGAUGGAGGGGCCCGCGUCCGAUUAGGUAGUUGGUGAGGUAACGGCUCACCAAGCCGACGAUCGGUAGCUGGUCUGAGAGGAUGAUCAGCCACACUGGGACUGAGAUACGGCCCAGACUCCUACGGGAGGCAGCAGUGGGGAAUAUUGGACAAUGGGGGCAACCCUGAUCCAGCAAUGCCGCGUGAGUGAUGAAGGCCUUAGGGUUGUAAAGCUCUUUUGGCGGGGACGAUGAUGACGGUACCCGCAGAAUAAGCCCCGGCUAACUUCGUGCCAGCAGCCGCGGUAAC
rnacentral:rRNA from 1 species